rnacentral:misc_RNA from 1 species
UCCGACUUGACGUCGGCAGUCUCGUUAGAGUUCCCGGCAUCACCCGCUGGCAACUAAGGACAGGGGUUGCGCUCGUUGCGCCACUUAAGGCAACACCUCACGACACGAGCUGACGACAACCAUGCACCACCUGUGAACCGGCCCCAAAGGGGAAACCACAUUUCUGCGGCGGUCCGGUCCAUGUCAAGCCUUGGUAAGGUUCUUCGCGUUGCAUCGAAUUAAUCCGCAUGCUCCGCCGCUUGUGCGGGCCCCCGUCAAUUCCUUUGAGUUUUAGCCUUGCGGCCGUACUCCCCAGGCGGGGCACUUAAUGCGUUAGCUACGGCACGGAUCCCGUGGAAGGAAACCCACACCUAGCGCCCACCGUUUACGGCGUGGACUAC